rnacentral:rRNA from 1 species
UAGUCCACGCCGUAAACGAUGAGUGCUAGCUGUUGGGACCUUAAGGUUUCAGUGGCGCAGCUAACGCAUUAAGCACUCCGCCUGGGGAGUACGGCCGCAAGGUUAAAACUCAAAGAAAUUGACGGGGACCCGCACAAGCGGUGGAGCAUGUGGUUUAAUUCGAGGCAACGCGAAGAACCUUACCAGGACUUGACAUGCCGGUCGCGGAUCGUAGAGAUACUUUCCUUCAGCUCGGCUGGACCGUGCACAGGUGCUGCAUGGCUGUCGUCAGCUCGUGUCGUGAGAUGUUGGGUUAAGUCCCGCAACGAGCGCAACCCUCAUCCUUAGUUGCCAUCAGUUCGGCUGGGCACUCUAAGGAAACUGCCGGGGUCAACCCGGAGGAAGGUGGGGAUGACGUCAAGUCUUCAUGGCCCUUAUGUCCUGGGCUACACACGUGCUACAAUGGUGGUGACAGUGCGCAGCCACUCCGCGAGGAGGAGCUAAUCGCUAAAAACCAU